GUGGGGAAUUUUGCGCAAUGGGGGAAACCCUGACGCAGCAACGCCGCGUGAGUGAUGAAGGCCUUCGGGUCGUAAAGCUCUGUCAGAGGGGAAGAAAUGCAGGGGUGCUAAUAUCAUCUUUGCUUGACGGUACCCUCAAAGGAAGCACCGGCUAACUCCGUGCCAGCAGCCGCGGUAAUACGGAGGGUGCGAGCGUUGUUCGGAAUUAUUUGGCGUAAAGCGCGUGUAGGCGGUGUGGUAAGUCUGAUGUGAAAGCCCCGGGCUCAACCUGGGAAGUGCAUUGGAAACUGUCAGACUUGAAUACGGGAGAGGGUAGUGGAAUUCCUAGUGUAGGAGUGAAAUCCGUAGAUAUUAGGAGGAACACCGGUGGCGAAGGAGGCUACCUGGACCGAUAUUGACGCUGAGACGCGAAAGCGUGGGGAGCAAACAGGAUUAGAAACCCGAGUAGUCC
rnacentral:rRNA from 1 species